rnacentral:rRNA from 1 species
AUUGAACGCUGGCGGCAUGCCUUACACAUGCAAGUCGAACGGCAGCACGGGUGCUUGCACCUGGUGGCGAGUGGCGAACGGGUGAGUAAUACAUCGGAACAUGUCCUGUAGUGGGGGAUAGCCCGGCGAAAGCCGGAUUAAUACCUCAUACGAUCUACGGAUGAAAGCGGGGGACCUUCGGGCCUCGCGCUAUAGGGUUGGCCGAUAGCUGAUUAGCUAGUUGGUGGGGUAAAGGCCUACCAAGGCGACGAUCAGUAGCUGGUCUGAGAGGACGACCAGCCACACUGGGACUGAGACACGGCCCAGACUCCUACGGGAGGCAGCAGUGGGGAAUUUUGGACAAUGGGCGAAAGCCUGAUCCAGCAAUGCCGCGUGUGUGAAGAAGGCCUUCGGGUUGUAAAGCACUUUUGUCCGGAAAGAAAUCCUUGGCUCUAAUACAGUCGGGGGAUGACGGUACCGGAAGAAUAAGCACCGGCUAACUACGUG